rnacentral:rRNA from 1 species
UGUAAGCGUAUACCAAAGUUGUUGCAGUUAAAACGCUCGUAGUUGAAUUUUUGCUUGCCGCCGAUGUCGGAACUUCCGUACGUUCGGCGGCGUGCAUCCUUGGGUGGAACCUGUGUGGCAUUAGGUUGUCGUGCAGGGGAUGCUCAUCGUUUACUGUGAAAAAAUUAGAGUGUUCAAAGCAGGCUUACGCCGUUGAAUAUAUUAGCAUGGAAUAAUAAGAUAGGACCUUGGUACUAUUUUGUUGGUUUGCGCACCGAGGUAAUGAUUAACAGGGACAGUUGGGGGUAUUCGUAUUCCAUUGUCAGAGGUGAAAUUCUUGGAUUUCUGGAAGACGAACUACUGCGAAAGCAUUUACCAAGGAUGUUUUCAUUAA